rnacentral:rRNA from 1 species
CAUUUUUAACUACCGGACUAGAGUGUGUCAGAGGGGGGUGGAAUUCCGCGUGUAGCAGUGAAAUGCGUAGAGAUGCGGAGGAACACCGAUGGCGAAGGCAGCCCCCUGGGAUAACACUGACGCUCAUGUACGAAAGCGUGGGUAGCAAACAGGAUUAGAUACCCUGGUAGUCCACGCCCUAAACGAUGUCAACUAGCUGUUGGGGCCUUCGGGCCUUAGUAGCGCAGCUAACGCGUGAAGUUGACCGCCUGGGGAGUACGGUCGCAAGAUUAAAACUCAAAGGAAUUGACGGGGACCCGCACAAGCGGUGGAUGAUGUGGAUUAAUUCGAUGCAACGCGAAAAACCUUACCUACCCUUGACAUGUCUGGAAUCCUUUAGAGAUAGAGGAGUGCUSGCAAGAGAACCGGAACACAGGUGCUGCAUGGCUGUCGUCAGCUCGUGUCGUGAGAUGUUGGGUUAAGUCCCGCAACGAGCGCAACCCUUGUCAUUAGUUGCUACGAAAGGGCACUCUAAUGAGACUGCCGGUGACAAACCGGAGGAAGGUGGGGAUGACGUCAAGUCCUCAUGGCCCUUAUGGGUAGGGCUUCACACGUCAUACAAUGGUCGGGACAGAGGGUCGCCAACCCGCGAGGGGGAGCCAAUCCCAGAAACCCCUAUCUCAGA